AGCCACCAUCUCAGCCUUGGGUCUGGCAUUUAGCAUGAUUCCAUAGAGUCUGCAUCACAGCCAGUUCCAUAGUGAUGAUUUUAAAGAGCAGCCUGUUUCUUCAGGAAACUUUUGCGGUUGACCAAGAGGGACACUAAUUCCUUAAAGCCUCCUUAGUCAAGUAUGGCUGAAAGACGCAGACAGGAGUGACUGAGAAAAUUACAGAGAAGUUCUGUGCAAGCUCCCAGGACUGGGAACAACACUGCAGCUCGGAUUUUUUUGUGACUUUCAGAUAGGGAUUUCCCAGGAUGUCUCAAGGAGGCAGGCUGUGACUAAGACAGGCCUAUUAGCC